rnacentral:rRNA from 1 species
AAUACGUCAGCGGCAGACGGGUGAGUAACGCGUGGGAACGUACCUUUUGGUUCGGAACAACACAGGGAAACUUGUGCUAAUACCGGAUAAGCCCUUACGGGGAAAGAUUUAUCGCCGAAAGAUCGGCCCGCGUCUGAUUAGCUAGUUGGUGAGGUAAUGGCUCACCAAGGCGACGAUCAGUAGCUGGUCUGAGAGGAUGAUCAGCCACAUUGGGACUGAGACACGGCCCAAACUCCUACGGGAGGCAGCAGUGGGGAAUAUUGGACAAUGGGGGCAACCCUGAUCCAGCCAUGCCGCGUGAGUGAUGAAGGCCCUAGGGUUGUAAAGCUCUUUUGUGCGGGAAGAUAAUGACGGUACCGCAAGAAUAAGCCCCGGCUAACUUCGUGCCAGCAGCCGCGGUAAUACGAAGGGGGCUAGCGUUGCUCGGAAUCACUGGGCGUAAAGGGUGCGUAGGCGGGUCUUUAAGUCAGGGGUGAAAUCCUGGAGCUCAACUCCAGAACUGCCUUUGAUACUGAAGAUCUUGAGUUCGGGAGAGGUGAGUGGAACUGCCAGUGUAGAGGUGAAAUUCGUAGAUAUUCGCAAGAACACCAGUGGCGAAGGCGGCUCACUGGCCCGAUACUGACGCUGAGGCACGAAAGCGUGGGGAGCAAACAGGAUUAGAUACCCUGGUAGUCCACCCCCUAAACGAUGAAUGCCCAGCCGUUAGUGGGUUUACUCACUAGUGGCGCAGCUAACACUUUAGCAUUCCGCCUGGGGAGUAC